rnacentral:rRNA from 1 species
CAGUACCCCGAGGAGAAGAAAUCAACCGAGAUUCCGGUAGUAGCGGCGAGCGAACCUGGAUUAGCCCUUAAGCACUCGGUGAAGUAGGUGAACAAGCUGGAAAGCUUGGCGAUACAGGGUGAUAGCCCCGUAACCGACGCUUCAUCGAGCGUGAAAUCGAGUAGGGCGGGACACGUGAUAUCCUGUCUGAAUAUGGGGGGACCAUCCUCCAAGGCUAAAUACUCCUGACUGACCGAUAGUGAACCAGUACCGUGAGGGAAAGGCGAAAAGAACCCCUGUGAGGGGAGUGAAAUAGAACCUGAAACCGUGUACGUACAAGCAGUAGGAGCACCUUCGUGGUGUGACUGCGUACCUUUUGUAUAAUGGGUCAGCGACUUAUAUUCAGUGGCAAGGUUAACCGUAUAGGGGAGCCGUAGCGAAAGCGAGUCUUAACUGGGCGCUCAGUCUCUGGAUAUAGACCCGAAACCGGGUGAUCUAGCCAUGGGCAGGUUGAAGGUUGAGUAACAUCAACUGGAGGACCGAACCGACUAAUGUUGAAAAAUUAGCGGAUGACUUGUGGCUAGGGGUGAAAGGCCAAUCAAACUCGGAGAUAGCUGGUUCUCCCCGAAAGCUAUUUAGGUAGCGCCUCGGACGAAUACUACUGGGGGUAGAGCACUGUUAAGGCUAGGGGGUCAUCCCGACUUACCAACCCUUUGCAAACUCCGAAUACCAGUAAGUACUAUCCGGGAGACACACGGCGGGUGCUAACGUCCGUCGUGGAGAGGGAAACAACCCAGACCGCCAGCUAAGGUCCCAAAGUAUUGCUAAGUGGGAAACGAUGUGGGAAGGCUCAGACAGCUAGGAUGUUGGCUUAGAAGCAGCCAUCAUUUAAAGAAAGCGUAAUAGCUCACUAGUCGAGUCGGCCUGCGCGGAAGAUGUAACGGGGCUAAGCAAUACACCGAAGCUGCGGCAAUGUCCUUUGGACAUUGGGUAGGGGAGCGUUCUGUAAGCCGUUGAAGGUGAAUCGUAAGGUUUGCUGGAGGUAUCAGAAGUGCGAAUGCUGACAUGAGUAACGACAAAGGGGGUGAAAAACCUCCUCGCCGGAAGACCAAGGGUUCCUGUCCAACGUUAAUCGGGGCAGGGUGAGUCGACCCCUAAGGUGAGGCCGAAAGGCGUAAUCGAUGGGAAACGGGUUAAUAUUCCCGUACUUCUGACUAUUGCGAUGGGGGGACGGAGAAGGCUAGGUGGGCCAGGCGACGGUUGUCCUGGUUCAAGUGCGUAGGCUUGAGAGUUAGGUAAAUCCGGCUCUCUCUAAGGCUGAGACACGACGUCGAGCUGCUACGGCAGUGAAGUCAUUGAUGCCAUGCUUCCAGGAAAAGCCUCUAAGCUUCAGAUAGUCAGGAAUCGUACCCCAAACCGACACAGGUGGUCGGGUAGAGAAUACCAAGGCGCUUGAGAGAACUCGGGUGAAGGAACUAGGCAAAAUGGUACCGUAACUUCGGGAGAAGGUACGCUCUUGAUGGUGAAGUCCCUCGCGGAUGGAGCUGACGAGAGUCGCAGAUACCAGGUGGCUGCAACUGUUUAUUAAAAACACAGCACUGUGCAAAAUCGCAAGAUGACGUAUACGGUGUGACGCCUGCCCGGUGCCGGAAGGUUAAUUGAUGGGGUUAGCGCAAGCGAAGCUCUUGAUCGAAGCCCCGGUAAACGGCGGCCGUAACUAUAACGGUCCUAAGGUAGCGAAAUUCCUUGUCGGGUAAGUUCCGACCUGCACGAAUGGCGUAAUGAUGGCCACGCUGUCUCCACCCGAGACUCAGUGAAAUUGAAAUCGCUGUGAAGAUGCAGUGUACCCGCGGCUAGACGGAAAGACCCCGUGAACCUUUACUACAGCUUGGCACUGAACAUUGAACCUACAUGUGUAGGAUAGGUGGGAGGCUAUGAAGACGUGACGCCAGUUGCGUUGGAGCCGUCCUUGAAAUACCACCCUUGUAUGUUUGAUGUUCUAACUUAGACCCAUUAUCUGGGUUGAGGACAGUGCCUGGUGGGUAGUUUGACUGGGGCGGUCUCCUCCCAAAGAGUAACGGAGGAGCACGAAGGUGGGCUAAUCACGGUUGGACAUCGUGAGGUUAGUGCAAUGGCAUAAGCCCGCUUAACUGCGAGAAUGACGGUUCGAGCAGGUGCGAAAGCAGGUCAUAGUGAUCCGGUGGUUCUGUAUGGAAGGGCCAUCGCUCAACGGAUAAAAGGUACUCCGGGGAUAACAGGCUGAUACCGCCCAAGAGUUCAUAUCGACGGCGGUGUUUGGCACCUCGAUGUCGGCUCAUCACAUCCUGGGGCUGAAGUCGGUCCCAAGGGUAUGGCUGUUCGCCAUUUAAAGUGGUACGCGAGCUGGGUUUAGAACGUCGUGAGACAGUUCGGUCCCUAUCUGCCGUGGGCGUUGGAAGAUUGAAGGGGGCUGCUCCUAGUACGAGAGGACCGGAGUGGACGAACCUCUGGUGUUCGGGUUGUGUCGCCAGACGCAUUGCCCGGUAGCUAAGUUCGGAAUUGAUAAGCGCUGAAAGCAUCUAAGCGCGAAGCGAGCCCUGAGAUGAGUCUUCCCUGAUACUUUAAGUAUCCUAAAGGGUUGUUCGAGACUAGAACGUUGAUAGGCAGGGUGUGUAAGCGUUGUGAGGCGUUGAGCUAACCUGUACUAAUUGCCCGUGAGGCUUAACCA